GGUUAACAUAGUAAAAUUAUUUAUUUUUCUUUCAAAAGUGCAUAGCGUGUACUGCUUUGUGUAGAAGCACUAUUUUUCAUGUAAAAAUGGAAUGUCUCACCUUUUGCUUUACUCUCCCUUCUCUCCCACUCUCUUCUUCUUUCUUCAUUCAAUAAUCUAGAAUGUUCUCCACAUCUAUUAUCACGCUUGCUCAUUUGCUCUUUAUCAAAUUCUGAUAUCGUCUUGAAUCUGUGUUUCGCCCUCAAAUUCCUCUUUGUACCUGUUGUAUUACGAUAAUGGUUGUGGUCACGUGUUUGACGAAAUUCCCCAAUGAAGACAAUACUUAUGUGUUAUGAAAAUUUAUCAGUUUCAACAGCUGGUUGUCUUGGCAGAUGUUAAUAAAGUUGAACUAUCUACUAAGGGUGAGUGAAAGAUAAUUCAACAGGAAAGAACAGUUUCUUAAUUUGUCGAACAAACUGAAGUACUUUAGCUGAAAGAGCGACAAGGUCUCCUUCAUGAAAAUCUUGUAUACUAAAGAGGCAGCUAGCUUGAGGAAUUAUCGAAAGAUCCAACAAGUUAACCCAAUGUAUCAACUUCAACAGCCUUAAGCUGCAAAGAGAGUUUAAGAGGAUAUAGUAGACGUAAACCUUACCUCUACCUCAACUAGGUAGGAGACACGAUCUAGGAAGUGUUGCUUCCAAUUAUCUCUACAUAUUUCUGAACAUUCCAAUUUAUAUUUUUUGCUUUCUUAUUUAAUAUUUUGUGCUAUAUGUACUUAUGACCCUUACAUAUGCAAUGUUUAUUUAGGUAUGUUUACUAUGCUUCAUUUAAUUUAAACAUUGUACCUCUUUGCCGUU